rnacentral:tRNA from 3 species
GGCUGCGUGGCCCAGUGGUUAAGGCAUCUGCUUUACACGCAGAGGAUCGCAGGUUCGAGCCCUGCCGCGGUCA